GACGAACGCUGGCGGCGUGCCUAACACAUGCAAGUCGUGCGGUCUCGCCUUAAGCGAAAGGCCUUCGGGCUUUGAAGCAAAGGCGAGAUAGCGGCGGACGGGUGAGUAACGCGUGGGCAAUCUGCCCAUAAGACUGGGACAACAUCAGGAAACUGAUGCUAAUACCGGAUACAGUCAUGAGCAGGCAUCUGCACAUGAUAAAAAAGGCAGCCUCUCGACGAAGCAGCUGCUUAUGGAUGAGCCCGCGUUCCAUUAGCCAGUUGGUGAGGUAACGGCUCACCAAAGCGACGAUGGAUAGCCGGUCUGAGAGGGCGAUCGGCCACACUGGGACUGAGACACGGCCCAGACUCCUACGGGAGGCAGCAGUGGGGAAUAUUGCGCAAGUGGGGGAACCCUGACGCAGCGACGCCGCGUGAGCGAAGAAGGCUUUCGAGUUGUAAAGCUCUGUAAUAAGGGAAGAACGCUGUAUAUAACG
rnacentral:rRNA from 1 species